AGCAGCAUGGCGCAGCGGAAGCGCCGGGCUCAUAACCCGGAGGUCCCUGGAUCGAAACCAGGUGCUGCUA
rnacentral:tRNA from 1 species